AUAAUUAUCAAGUAAUUAAAACUCUUUCAAUAUCCAUGAGAACACUCGAACAGAGAACUGAAGAGUCAAAGCUCAUCGAAACCCUAAGCUUGCGAUAGAUAUCUCCACCGCCAUCUCCGCCGCUGCCUCCGCCGCCAUGGCCGCCGCUAGAGUUCAUCUUCUUUCUACUUCUGCCAUAAAGCCAUUGAGAUCGAGCCAAGGCAUCUCUUUCACCAACGCGUUUCCAAAUCUAAUCGCAACGCCCAAGCCUUUGAGAUCGAGAGAAAGUACCUCUUCGGUCAACUCUCCUCCGCCAAUGACGCUCAUGUUCUCCAUCGGCAUUCUAUCCCUUGUGUACGCUCUUCUUUCCACUCGUUCUCAGUUUCUGGUUCUCCUUCUCUUUUUCCUUUUUAUUCGUUUUUGUUGUUUUUCAUCCGCAAAUUCUGAAUGCUUUGCUAUGUGAUAUAACAUUGUUUCAAAUUAUCAAGCACUCCAAGUAUUUGAUGAAUUGUUUAUUCUCUUAAUUGAAAUUCUGAUAAAUUAAUUUGCUAAUUUUUGAAUUUUGAUUUCGUGAUACUCUUUUAUUUUGAUACUAAUAUUUCGUGAUACUGAUAAAUUGAGAUUCAAGUGUGUUCCCUACAGCAUUGGGUGUGAAUCCAAUGAUCACUGUUCAGGCUAUAGCUUAUUACACAACACAAUCUGUUCUUGAAGUUCUUGGAAGGAAAAGGUGUUGAUGAAUUAUAUAAAAAAAAAACUUUUCUCUGCUUCUGUAUCUCCAGUGGUCUAGAAUGAAAAUCUUUGUUCAAAUAACACACGUUGAGAAAAAGAAAAUUGUAAUAACUGUUAAGAGAGUUGUUCAAUCAUUCUGAGUGUUUAGUGUAUUAGUGUUUAUUUUGUCAUAACAUCUUUUAGUUAAAACUUUUGAGGCUUUAAUAGUCAUCUUAAGUUAGUAAAAAGUAGAUUUAGACAACCUUCAUGUCCUUACAUAACACUGAAUAUUUUUUCUAAUCUUAUAUAUUUCAAUGGCACAUAUAUACAGUGAGAGAAACUUGACAUCUAUAUCAAAUUGAAAUUUAAGAUGAUAGUGAUAUACUUUUGGACCAAGUUUAGUAAAAAUUUGAGAAGACCAUGGCAGAUUAUCUUUGAAGCUCAAACAAUACAUUUUCAGUAUCAAUGAACAAGGCAGCCACAUGAGUUUAGAAUUCAGAUCUGAUUAAUAACAUAAUUAAUAAAUUAAUUUUAUUUAGAAACAGCUAUGUUGCAUGGUGUUUGUUAAAUCUCAAAUUGGCUACGUCUAUGAUCACAUAAUAAAAAAUUUAUGCAGACUUCAUGAUUUGAAGCAGUUAGGUGAGUCAACUUACUACAUAUGAAUGAUAUUUUGUUAUUAUUACUUCUAAUUCCACUAUUUUGUUAUUAUUACUAAUAUGAUAUGAUAUUUUGCCUAGGAUUACUGCAUGAUGUUGGCCAUGGUCCCUUCAGCCACAUGUUUGAGGGCAAGUUCCUUUCCCGGGUCUUUAAUGGUGACAAAUGGUCCCAUAAGAAAAUGUCAGCGAAGAUGAUAGAUUACAUGGUUGAUGAACAUAAUAUUGAUAUUGAUCCUGAACUCCUCAAGAAAGUGAAGGGUCUAUGCAUCAGUUUGAAAGUGAAGUAUGCUCUCUUAUUUCUAUUUACUGUUCUGUUUUCAUCAUUUAGCCUUUGAGAUGAAGCAUGGAAGAGAGGUGACACAUUUGGUGGCAAUAGAGGGCUCCGUCCAGUGCCUCCUGAAAAGAGUAUUUUCCCAUUAGACCACAUGCAUUUAUGUGACCUGGUCAUAAGGAAAGUAAUUAAUUCUUCCCUUAUUUGGUCAUAAGGAAGAUGUUUACAAGGAAUUAUUAGGGGAUAAAUUAUUUCUCAUCAAUUUUUUGUGUGUUGUGUUUGUUUCAGGAGAAGAAAGAAUAUUUGGGUUGUCUGAAAACUGCGGGUCACCAGUCUGAAAAAUGCAGGGACUUCUCGAAAAAGUACUUGUAGUGCUGAAUGGAAAAUACAAAAGAUUGGAGCAUAAAGCAGAAGAAAAGGUACAAGCCCUGAAGGAGAUUAGAGAGACAGUGAAUCACAGGAAUCAUAUAGAUGGCAGUGUGAAAUUGAUUAGUACUUCAUUAUUUGGUGUUCCUAAAGUUAAGCAACAAUUUGUGUAUUUGUUGGAAUAAAUGAAGUCUCAGCUCAAAGUUGCUGCUGUUGUUGCUAUUAGCUAGCUUUGGAUUCAGCACUCAUUCCAUGGACCCGAAAUGGUAACUCAUAGACGGGGUUGAGGACGGAAGGAGAAUAAGGGAUCUGCUUCUACUGGCAAUAAGGCCGAAUUUCUGGCAGCAAUGACCUAACUUAUCAACAAUAUACAAGCUAGUGCGGCAACUACAAAUCAAGCGAUGAGAGAAUGAAUGAAAAUGGUAACGAAUUUGGAGGAAGCUCAACUGAAGUUCCAAUGACAUUGGCAACCUUUUUGAAGGUUAACCCCUCUAUGUUCAGAGGAUCGAAUAACCUGACGAAAGCUUACAACUGAUUUAGAGCAAUAGGGAGAGCAUUGCAGGCGCAACACGUAUCCGAAGGUCAAUUGGUGGAGUUUGCUGCUUAUCAACUGCUGGAAAAGCUCAACAUUGGUGGCAAGGAGCUUACCAUCUUCUUCAACAAGGAAACAGAAAUGAGGUGAUCACUUGGAAGGUUUUUCGAGAAAAGUUUUACAAGAAGCAUUUCCUGAAUUCCGUGAGACAAGCCAAGGAGGUAGAGCUACUUCAACUAAGACAAGAAACAAUGACCGUGUCUGCUUAUACAAGUAAGUUUGAGGAGCUGUGUCAUUUCUCAAGAGUUUGUCAGGGAGCUCUUAAAGGGUAUGAGGAGUGAAAGUGCAUGAAGUACUAGGACGGUUUGAGAGAUGAUAUUAUACGAGCUGUGGUACCUCUUGAGAUUAAGAGUUUUGUGGAGUUGGUGAACAAAAGUCAUGUGGUGGAAGAUUUCUCUAGGAAGAAUAUGAAUGCGAGUACUAGUCGUGGUGGUUACUACAACCGAGGAGGUGCGAGGUCCUUUGCUCCCAGGGACCGAAACUUCAAGAGAGGGAUUAUGUUCAAUAACCUCAACGUGGUUGAGCUACUUUCCAAGGGAACAACAACUAUCAAGGAAGGAGGUACGGAAGGCAACCUCAAAAUGAAUUGACUUGUAGACGAUGUGGAAGCUAUCAUCCGAAAACCUCAUAUUGAGCUAGACUGGGGCUUUGUUACAGUUAUGAAGGAGCUGGUCACAUGUCCUAGAACUAUCCUGAAAAGACCAACUGGAAUACUGGUAGAGCCCAAUAGCAAGACCGUGUGUAUGCUAUCACGGUAGAUGAUGCUACUAAGUCAGAUAAUUUGAUCAGAAAUAAAUGUGACAUUGGUGUUAAAGUGUUAACUAAUUUGUAUGAUACUGGAGAAUUUCAUUCAUUCAUAGACUUUGAUAAGGUUGCUAUAUUAGGAUUAAGGGUGUUGACAUUAUCAUUUGAUUUGCAUAUGCAUACCCCUACUUCCAAAA